CGGGGCGUGGCCUAGCUGGCUAAGGCGCAUGCUUUGGGAGCAUGAGAUCCUGGGUUCAAAUCCCAGCGCCCCGACCA
rnacentral:tRNA from 2 species